AGAGAGAGACAGGUGUCAUUGAUGAUGUCAACAGCAGGUUGGUCACAUGAUCAAUCAUCAUCAGAUUAAUACCCCAUCAUGGUACAGUCCUCAGGUGUCAGACCUCCUGAUGGUUCAGUCCAGACUUUACAUGAUCCAACUCAGAUCUGUGAAGAAGACCUCGUUUCAGUGACCUCUGACCUCUGACCCUGUUCACACCAGAACCAGAACUGUGGAUUCUGUCUCUGGACUUUAUGAAGAGAUGUUUUCACCAGAACCAUUUUCACCUUCCCUGAACUUCACCUCCUGUUUCUAUUCUUUUUAUGAGACUUAAUGUUUUUAUUAUUUUUAUCUGAACUGUUUGAAAUGUGCAGCACAAAUAAAGCUCUGCCCUCCUUUUACUCUGAAA